UACGUAGGGCGCAAGCGUUGUCCGGAAUUAUUGGGCGUAAAGAGCUCGUAGGCGGCCUGUUGCGUCCGCUGUGAAAUCCCGGGGCUCAACCCCGGGCGUGCAGUGGAUACGGGCUGGCUGGAGGCAGGCAGGGGAGAACGGAAUUCCUGGUGUAGCGGUGAAAUGCGCAGAUAUCAGGAGGAACACCGGUGGCGAAGGCGGCAUCCUGGACCGGCAUUGACGCUGAGUGAGCGAAAGCCAGGGGAGCAAACAGG
rnacentral:rRNA from 1 species